GGGGAAUCUUGCGCAAUGGCCUAACGGCUGACGCAGCGACGCCGCGUGAGGGGUGAAGCUCCUCGGAGUGUAAACCACUGUUGCCCGGGACGAACAGCCUGUUUCGACAGGUCUGACGGUACCGGGUGAGGAAGCACCGGCUAACUCCGUGCCAGCAGCCGCGGUAAUACGGAGGGUGCGAGCGUUGUCCGGAAUCAGUGGGCGUAAAGGGCGCGUAGGUGGCCUGGUCAGCGUGCGGUGAAAGCUCGGGGCUCAACCCCGAGUCGGCCGUGCGAACUGCUGGGCUUGAGCACUGUAGAGGCAGGCGGAAUUCCGGGUGUAGCGGUGGAAUGCGUAGAGAUCCGGAAGAACACCGGUGGCGAAGGCGGCCUGCUGGGCAGUAGCUGACACUGAGGCGCGACAGCGUGGGGAGCAAAC
rnacentral:rRNA from 1 species